AUGCAGGGCAGUGCCUUCAUUACUGCGUUGUGUCCAACAGGUGGCAGCAGAGGUGCAGUGCUCUCGAGUGUCGUAACGACUGCAUGGAGAUGUGUGGAUUUUCAUGGGGACAGCAAGGAGCCGGAAUCUGCAUUUUCUGGAAUGCCCCGGAAGCUCACUUUGCUGACUGGUGGCAGCAGAGCUGCGGUGCUCCCGAGUGCCGUAACGAUUGCAUGGAGACGUGUGGAUUUCCAUGGGAACAGCAAGGAACCAGAAUCUGCAUUUUCUGGAAUGCCCCGGAAGCUCACUUUGCUGACUGGUAAUUGUCUGCCCAACAGGUGGCAGCAGAGCUGCGGUGUUCUAGAGUGCCGUAACGACUGCAUGGAGAUGUGUGGGUCUUCAUGGGACCAGCAAGGAACCAGAAUCUGCAUUUCCUGGACUGCCUCGGAACUCUAUUAGCUGAUUGGUAAUUGUCUGCCCAGCAGGUAAGGGCAAUGCACACCCACCAGUGUUUAGUCAUCAUUUAGUGAGACACUAGGUAGGGUUUCCAGAGCUCAUUUCUACAUUUCAUGGUGCCUCGAAUGUUGCUUGUCUUACUCUUUGUGCAUUCUCUGUGCCUUCUCCGUGCCUUUGCCCUUUCCCUGCUGUGUUCUCUUGUUUUUCUGUUUUGGCGUUUCCUAUGGCAUUCUCUUGCCCUUUGUCCUUAGCCUUCUUUGACACGUUCCCUCUGUGUCCGGUUACUCACGACAUUCUGUUUGGCCUUUGGUUUUGGUGUUCCCUUCCAUCUUCUCUUUGGCCAUUAGUCUUGGCCUUUGCAACGUUCCCUUUGGCCUUCCCUUCUGGCGUUCCA
rnacentral:lncRNA from 1 species